rnacentral:lncRNA from 1 species
CGCUGGUGCACGUUUCUACCCAUUUCUUCCACGGAUUAAGUUAUUUGCUGUGCGACGGUGUUUAUUGCCCGCCGUUGAUCAUCCAACGCGGCGAUGGUGUACUGCUGCGUACCGCUUUGCAAGUCGCAGUUGGGUAAGACUCAGGGCGUUUCUUUUCAUCAAUUCUCGAGUGAUUCAGAACUGUUUGCAAAGUGGCUCAAAAACAUCUCCAGAGAAAAUUUCGUCGUCAACGACAAGUCGGCAUCGAGUGUGGUUUGCAGCCGGCAUUUCCUCGCGAGUGACUACGUUUCAGGGUGCCGCAUCAGAAAACUUUUGCCUGGUGCUUGUUUCAGCCAACUGAUAUGUUCUGAACGUAAAACAUAUUGAAGUUAUGGAUCUGAGCGCACCGCAUUGGACACCUUGAAUUUAGCUGUGAAUAAAUUUGUUUUCGUUUCUCUGAA